GUGCAUUACAAGCCUUUAGCUGCACUUCAGCAAUAUCCUUGUUUGGGCCUGCAAGAAGUAUCGACAAUGAAAGUCAUUGUGUGUGUGAUCAUGGCAAUGCUUCUCACCAAUUCAUGCCCAUUUGUGCGUUCAAGGAACAUCGAAGGGAAUGCAAUGCAUGUGAAGAACAUGCGCAAACUGACUUCUAGUUCUGUUGAUGGAAGGAGUACCCCUGCUGGUGAGGAAAUACAUCAUGCGUGUUCACUAGGGAACUACCCCUGCCAAGGGAUGUUCCACAGUUCCAAGGAGAACACAGAAGGUGGAGGAAACUAA
rnacentral:rRNA from 1 species